AAGGAAUAAGUGUUAUUUACACAAGAAUUAGUUUAGUUUAUGUUUUUACUUUAUGUUUUCAGUUUCAUAUUUCAAAAAUAGUUAUGUUCAGUUUAGUUGACGUUUUUGAGUAAAUGAGGUAUUUUUCAUACGGUUCGAAUCUCUUCACCGGGCAUUAUGUUAUGAAUGUUAGUAACAUCUCUAUCCUACGGGAACGGGGUGUUACAAAUAAGGUACAUCCGAUUUA